rnacentral:rRNA from 1 species
UCGGGGUGCGCAGGCGCGAAAACUUUACNCUGCCGGCAACGGCNUAUAGGGAACCUCGAGUGCCAGGUUACAAAUCUGGCUGUCGUGAUGCCUAAAAAGCAUUGCAUAGCAAGGGCCGGGCAAGACCGGUGCCAGCCGCCGCGGUAACACCGGCGGCUCGAGUGGUAACCGUUAUUAUUGGGUCUAAAGGGUCUGUAGCCGGCCGGGUAAGUCUCUUGGGAAAUCUGGCAGCUUAACUGUCAGGCUUUCAGGAGAUACUGCCUGGCUCGAGGCCGGGAGAGGUGAGAGGUACUUCAGGGGUAGGGGUGAAAUCUUGUAAUCCUUGAAGGACCACCAGUGGCGAAGGCGUCUCACCAGAACGGACCUGACGGCAAGGGACGAAAGCUAGGGGCACGAACCGGAUUAGAUACCCGGGUAGUCCUAGCCGUAAACGAUACUCGCUAGGUGUCGGCCACGGUGCGACCGUGGUCGGUGCCGUAGGGAAGCCGUGAAGCGAGCCACCUGGGAAGUACGGCCGCAAGGCUGAAACUUAAAGGAAUUGGCGGGGGAGCAC